CCUACGGGUGGCAGCAGUGAGGAAUAUUGGUCAAUGGACGAGAGUCUGAACCAGCCAAGUAGCGUGAAGGAUGACUGCCCUAUGGGUUGUAAACUUCUUUUAUAUGGGAAUAAAAUGUUCCACGUGUGGGAAUUUGUAUGUACCAUAUGAUUACGGUUCGCCGAACUCCGCUCCAGCAGCCGCGGUAAUUCGGAGGAUCCGAGCGUUAUCCGGAUUUAGUUGGUUUAAAGGGAGCGUAGGUGGAGUGGUAAGACAGUUGUGAAAGUUUGCGGCUCAACCGUAAAAUUGCAGUUGUGACUGGCAGUCUUGAGUACAGGAGAGGUGGGCGGAAUUCGGGGUGUAGCGGUGAAAUGCGUAGAUAUGACGAAGAACUCCGAUGGCGAAGGCAGUUCACUGGACUGCAACUGACGCUGAGGCUCGAAAGCGUGGGUAUCAAACAGGAUUAGAUACCCCAGUAGUC
rnacentral:rRNA from 1 species